AUUGAACGCUGGCGGCAGGCUUAACACAUGCAAGUCGAACGAGUGGCGGACGGGUGAGUAAUGCCUGGGAAACUGGCUGAUGGAGGGGGAUAACUACUGGAAACGGUAGCUAAUACCGCAUACCCUCAGAUUUGCCCAAGUGGGAUUAGCUAGUUGGUGGGGUAAAGGCUCACCAAGGCGACGAUCCCUAGCUGGUCUGAGAGGAUGACCAGCCACACGGGAACUGAGACACGGCCCAGACUCCUACGGGAGGCAGGAGUGGGGAAUAUUGCGCAAUGGGGGAAAGCCUGAUGCAGCCAUGCAGCGUGAAUGAAGAAGGCCUUCGGGUUGUAAAGUACUUUCAGCGGGGAGGCGUUACCCACAGAAGAAGCACCGGCUAACUCCGUGCCAGCAGCCGCGGUAAUUC
rnacentral:rRNA from 1 species